rnacentral:pre_miRNA from 1 species
AAUAUUUGACGCCGUUAACUUUUUAUCACAUGUUUGACCGUUCGUCUUAUUCAAAAAAUUUAAGUAAUUAUUAAUUCUUUUCCUAUCAUUUGAUUCAUUGUUAAAUAUAUUUUUAUGUAGGCAUAUAAUUUUACAUAUCUCACAUAAGUUUUUGAAUAAGAUGAACGGUCAAACAUGUGCUAAAAAGUCAACGGUGUCAAACAUU